CCCGGCUCACUAGCUCGGCUCCGAGCUCCUCCUCCCGUUUCCGCUGGCAGGAGCUGGAGCCGUGUCCCGCCGUGCGGCUGCAGCUCCCCCAGGACUCGGCCCCAUCCGGCCCGGCCCAGCCCGGCUCGGCUCGGCUCGGCGCUCGGCUCCGAGCUCCUCCUCCCGUUUCCGCUGGCAGGAGCUGGAGCCGUGUCCCGCCGUGCGGCUGCAGCUCCCCCAGGACUCGGCCCCAUCCGGCCCGGCCCAGCCCGGCUCGGCUCGGCUCGGCUCGGCUCAGAUCAGAUCAGAUCAGGGAGGCGCGGGUUUUGUCCAGGAGUUUUCCACUGGCAUACAUAAAAAUACCACAGAAUUUAAGAAGUUCAACAUGGCAAGAGGCUGCCUGUGUUGUUUGAAAUAUGUGAUGUUCCUUUUCAAUUUAAUAUUUUGGGUGAGUACUGCCUUUUCAGUUGUCUUCGUUUGUUAGUGUAUCCUGUACUACUGCAUUAUGUGUACAGUGCAUCUUUAAAGCACUACAGUAAGC
rnacentral:lncRNA from 1 species